UACGUAGGGGGCUAGCGUUGUCCGGAAUCAUUGGGCGUAAAGCGCGUGUAGGCGGCCCGGUAAGUCCGCUGUGAAAGUCGGGGGCUCAACCUCGAGACGUCGGUUGAAACCGUAAGGCUAGAGUCCGGAAGAGGAGAGUGGAAUUCCCGGUGUAGCGGUGAAAUGCGCAGAUAUCGGGAGGAACACCGGUGGCGAAGGCGGUUCUCUGGGCCUUACCUGACGCUGAGGAGCGAAAGCGUGGGGAGCGAACAGG
rnacentral:rRNA from 1 species